rnacentral:rRNA from 1 species
UACAAAGGGGGCAAGCGUUAUUCGGAAUUAUUGGGCGUAAAGGGCGCGUAGGCGGCGAUUCAAGUGACGGGUGAAAUCCCUCGGCUUAACCGAGGAACUGCCUGUCAGACUGGAUUGCUUGAGGCCGGGAGAGGCGAGUGGAAUUCCCAGUGUAGCGGUGAAAUGCGUAGAUAUUGGGAGGAACACCAGUGGCGAAGGCGGCUCGCUGGACCGGUUCUGACGCUGAGGCGCGAAAGCGUGGGGAGCAAACAGG